rnacentral:rRNA from 1 species
GGAAUAUUGGACAAUGGGGGCAACCCUGAUCCAGCGACGCCGCGUGUGUGAAGAAGGCCUGCGGGUUGUAAAGCACUUUUAGUGGGGAUGAAAAGCUCAGGGUUAAUACCUCUGGGUCUUGACCUAACCCACAGAAAAAGCACCGGCUAACUCUGUGCCAGCAGCCGCGGUAAUACAGAGGGUGCGAGCGUUAAUCGGAAUUACUGGGCGUAAACCGUGCGUAGACGGUUAUGUAAGUUAGGUGUGAAAGCCCCGGGCUCAACCUGGGAAUUGCAUUUAAGACUGCAUAGCUAGGGUGCGGAAGAGGGAAGCGGAAUUUCCGGUGUAGCGGUGAAAUGCGUAGAUAUCGGAAGGAACACCAGUGGCGAAAGCGGCUUCCUGGUCCAGCACCGACGUUCAGGCACGAAAGCGUGGGGAGCAAAC